UACGUAGGGUGCGAGCGUUGUCCGGAAUUAUUGGGCGUAAAGGGCUCGUAGGCGGUUUGUCGCGUCGGGAGUGAAAACACCGGGCUUAACUCGGUGCUUGCUUCCGAUACGGGCAGACUAGAGGCAUGCAGGGGAGAACGGAAUUCCUGGUGUAGCGGUGGAAAUGCGCAGAUAUCAGGAGGAACACCGGUGGCGAAGGCGGUUCUCUGGGCAUGUCCUGACGCUGAGGAGCGAAAGUGUGGGGAGCGAACAGG
rnacentral:rRNA from 1 species